UUGAACGCUGGCGGCAGGCCUAACACAUGCAAGUCGAGCGGUAGCACAGAGAGCUUGCUCUCGGGUGACGAGCGGCGGACGGGUGAGUAAUGUCUGGGAAACUGCCUGAUGGAGGGGGAUAACUACUGGAAACGGUAGCUAAUACCGCAUAAUGUCGCAAGACCAAAGUGGGGGACCUUCGGGCCUCAUGCCAUCAGAUGUGCCCAGAUGGGAUUAGCUAGUAGGUGGGGUAAUGGCUCACCUAGGCGACGAUCCCUAGCUGGUCUGAGAGGAUGACCAGCCACACUGGAACUGAGACACGGUCCAGACUCCUACGGGAGGCAGCAGUGGGGAAUAUUGCACAAUGGGCGCAAGCCUGAUGCAGCCAUGCCGCGUGUGUGAAGAAGGCCUUCGGGUUGUAAAGCACUUUCAGCGGGGAGGAAGGCGAUAAGGUUAAUAACCUUGGCGAUUGACGUUACCCGCAGAAGAAGCACCGGCUAACUCCGUGCCAGCAGCCGCGGUAAUACGGAGGGUGCAAGCGUUAAUCGGAAUUACUGGGCGUAAAGCGCACGCAGGCGGUCUGUCAAGUCGGAUGUGAAAUCCCCGGGCUCAACCUGGGAACUGCAUUCGAAACUGGCAGGCUAGAGUCUUGUAGAGGGGGGUAGAAUUCCAGGUGUAGCGGUGAAAUGCGUAGAGAUCUGGAGGAAUACCGGUGGCGAAGGCGGCCCCCUGGACAAAGACUGACGCUCAGGUGCGAAAGCGUGGGGAGCAAACAGGAUUAGAUACCCUGGUAGUCCACGCCGUAAACGAUGUCGAUUUGGAGGUUGUGCCCUUGAGGCGUGGCUUCCGGAGCUAACGCGUUAAAUCGACCGCCUGGGGAGUACGGCCGCAAGGUUAAAACUCAAAUGAAUUGACGGGGGCCCGCACAAGCGGUGGAGCAUGUGGUUUAAUUCGAUGCAACGCGAAGAACCUUACCUGGUCUUGACAUCCACAGAACUUAGCAGAGAUGCUUUGGUGCCUUCGGGAACUGUGAGACAGGUGCUGCAUGGCUGUCGUCAGCUCGUGUUGUGAAAUGUUGGGUUAAGUCCCGCAACGAGCGCAACCCUUAUCCUUUGUUGCCAGCGGUUCGGCCGGGAACUCAAAGGAGACUGCCAGUGAUAAACUGGAGGAAGGUGGGGAUGACGUCAAGUCAUCAUGGCCCUUACGACCAGGGCUACACACGUGCUACAAUGGCAUAUACAAAGAGAAGCGACCUCGCGAGAGCAAGCGGACCUCAUAAAGUAUGUCGUAGUCCGGAUUGGAGUCUGCAACUCGACUCCAUGAAGUCGGAAUCGCUAGUAAUCGUAGAUCAGAAUGCCACGGUGAAUACGUUCCCGGGCCUUGUACACACCGCCCGUCACACCAUGGGAGUGGGUUGCAAAAGAAGUAGGUAGCUUAACCUUCGGGAGGGCGCUUACCACUUUGUGAUUCAUGACUGGGGUG
rnacentral:rRNA from 1 species